AAUGAAGUGCCUGAACAAAAGGUAUAUUUUGAUAGAAUAUUUUAUGUGAUUUUUCACCUUUAUUA
rnacentral:tRNA from 1 species